AGUGAACGCUGGCGGUAGGCCUAACACAUGCAAGUCGAACGGCAGCACAGUAAGAGCUUGCUCUUACGGGUGGCGAGUGGCGGACGGGUGAGGAAUACAUCGGAAUCUACUUUUUCGUGGGGGAUAACGUAGGGAAACUUACGCUAAUACCGCAUACGACCUACGGGUGAAAGCAGGGGAUCUUCGGACCUUGCGCGAUUGAAUGAGCCGAUGUCGGAUUAGCUAGUUGGCGGGGUAAAGGCCCACCAAGGCGACGAUCCGUAGCUGGUCUGAGAGGAUGAUCAGCCACACUGGAACUGAGACACGGUCCAGACUCCUACGGGAGGCAGCAGUGGGGAAUAUUGGACAAUGGGCGCAAGCCUGAUCUAGCCAUACUGCGUGGGUGAAGAAGGCCUUCGGGUUGUAAAGCCCUUUUGUUGGGAAAGAAAAGCAGCAGGUUAAUACCCCGCUGUUCUGACGGUACCCAAAGAAUAAGCACCGGCUAACUUCGUG
rnacentral:rRNA from 1 species